rnacentral:snRNA from 1 species
UGCUUUGGCAGCAAUAUACCGAUGCUGGAAUGAUACAGAGAUGGUUAGCAUGGCCUCUGUGCAAGUAGGAUACACAGAUCUGUGAAUGUUCCAUAUUUUU